rnacentral:rRNA from 1 species
UACGUAGGGGGCAAGCGUUGUCCGGAUUUAUUGGGCGUAAAGGGCGUGUAGGCGGCUAGGUAGGUCCGUUGUGAAAACUCGAGGCUCAACCUCGAGACGUCGAUGGAAACCAUCUAGCUAGAGUCCGGAAGAGGCGAGUGGAACUCCUGGUGUAGCGGUGAAAUGCGCAGAUAUCAGGAAGAACACCAAUGGCGAAGGCAGCUCGCUGGGACGGUACUGACGCUGAGACGCGAAAGCGUGGGGAGCAAACAGG